rnacentral:rRNA from 1 species
GACGAACGCUGGCGGCGGGCCUAACACAUGCAAGUCGAACGGAAAGGCCCUGCUUUUGUGGGGUGCCCGAGUGGCGAACGGGUGAGUAACACGGGAGUAACCUGCCCUUGACGUUGUAAUAACUUCAGGAAACUGCGGCUAAUACCGGAUAGGUGCGCCUGCUGCAUGGUGGGGGUUGGACAGCUUCGGAGGUGAGGGGUCGACGCGCGGCUUGCCAGCUGGUUGGUUGGGUAGUGGCUUACCCAGGCAUUGAAGGGUAGCCGGCCUGGGAGGGUAACCGGGCUCAUUGGGACUGCGAUAGGGCCCAGAGUCCUACGGGGGGCAGCAGUGGGGAACAUUGCACAAUGAGCGGAAGCCUGAUGCAGAAACGCCGCGUGCGGGAUGACGGCCUUCGGGGUGUAAAGCGCUUUCGCCUGUGACGUAGCGUGUUUGACGUUAAUGGCUAAAGAAGCACCGGCUAACUACGUG